rnacentral:rRNA from 1 species
AGAUAUCAGGAGGAACACCGAUGGCGAAGGCAGAUCUCUGGGCCGUGACUGACGCUGAGGAGCGAAAGGGUGGGGAGCAAACAGGCUUAGAUACCCUGGUAGUCCACCCCGUAAACGUUGGGAACUAGUUGUGGGGGCCUUUCCACGGUCUCCGUGACGCAGCUAACGCAUUAAGUUCCCCGCCUGGGGAGUACGGCCGCAAGGCUAAAACUCAAAGGAAUUGACGGGGACCCGCACAAGCGGCGGAGCAUGCGGAUUAAUUCGAUGCAACGCGAAGAACCUUACCAAGGCUUGACAUACACCGGAAACGUCCAGAGAUGGUCGCCCCUUUUUGGUCGGUGUACAGGUGGUGCAUGGUUGUCGUCAGCUCGUGUCGUGAGAUGUUGGGUUAAGUCCCGCAACGAGCGCAACCCUCGUUCUAUGUUGCCAGCACGUUAUGGUGGGAACUCAUGGGAUACUGCCGGGGUCAACUCGGAGGAAGGUGGGGAUGACGUCAAAUCAUCAUGCCCCUUAUGUCUUGGGCUUCACGCAUGCUACAAUGGCCGGUACAAUGGGCUGCGAUACCGUGAGGUGGAGCGAAUCCCAAAAAGCCGGUCCCAGUUCGGAUCGUAGUCUGCAACUCGACUACGUGAAGUCGGAGUCGCUAGUAAUCGCAGAUCAGCAACGCUGCGGUGAAUACGUUCCCGGGUCUUGUACACAC